GGGUUAAUAAGUGGCAAAGCAUCCGGCUCUUAACCGGAAGGAUAUUGGUUCGAUGCCAAUACAAUCCACCA
rnacentral:tRNA from 1 species